AUUGAACGCUGGCGGCAUGCUUUACACAUGCAAGUCGAACGGCAGCACGGGAGCUUGCUCCUGGUGGCGAGUGGCGAACGGGUGAGUAACAUAUCGGAACGUACCCAGUCGUGGGGGAUAACUAUCCGAAAGGAUAGCUAAUACCGCAUACGUCCUGAGGGAGAAAGCGGGGGAUCGCAAGACCUCGCGCGAUUGGAGCGGCCGAUAUCGGAUUAGCUAGUUGGUGGGGUAAAGGCUCACCAAGGCGACGAUCCGUAGCGGGUCUGAGAGGACGACCCGCCACACUGGAACUGAGACACGGUCCAGACUCCUACGGGAGGCAGCAGUGGGGAAUUUUGGACAAUGGGGGCAACCCUGAUCCAGCCAUUCCGCGUGAGUGAAGAAGGCCUUCGGGUUGUAAAGCUCUUUCAGCAGGAACGAAACGGUCGGCUUUAAUAAAAUCGGCUAAUGACGGUACCUGCAGAAGAAGCACCGGCUAACUACGUG
rnacentral:rRNA from 1 species